CUUCCGUAGGGUGAACCUGCGGAAGGAUCAUUAAUGAAUUCUGAAAGGGGUUGUAGCUGGCUGUUUCGUUUGAGCGGCAUGUGCACGCCCUGAUCAUUAUCCAUCUCACACACCUGUGCACAUACUGUAGGUCGGCUUUUGAUUGGAGUGGGGUCUUCAUCGACUCUGCUUUUUAGUUGGGGCCUUCCUAUGUUUUAUCACACACUACUUCAGUUAAAAGAAUGUCCUCUUGCGUCUAACGCAUUUAAAUACAACUUUCAGCAACGGAUCUCUUGGCUCUCGCAUCGAUGAAGAACGCAGCGAAAUGCGAUAAGUAAUGUGAAUUGCAGAAUUCAGUGAAUCAUCGAAUCUUUGAACGCACCUUGCGCUCCUUGGUAUUCCGAGGAGCAUGCCUGUUUGAGUGUCAUGGAAUUCUCAACUCUAUUUGCUUUUGUGAAUAGAGCUUGGACUUGGAGGUUUAUUGCCGGUACCUGUGAUCGGCUCCUCUUGAAUGCAUUAGCUCGAACCUUUUGUGGAUCAGCUUAUCGGUGUGAUAAAAUGUCUACGCCGUUACUGUGAAGCAUAUUAUUCGGCUUCCAAUCGUCCUUCACGGGACAAUAACUUUGACCUUUGACCUCAAAUCAGGUAGGAUUACCCGCUGAACUUAAGCAUAUCAAUAA
rnacentral:misc_RNA from 1 species